rnacentral:rRNA from 1 species
UACAGAGGGGGCAAGCGUUGUUCGGAAUUACUGGGCGUAAAGGGCGCGUAGGCGGCCCGCUAAGUCGAACGUGAAAUCCCCGAGCUCAACUCGGGAACUGCGUCCGAUACUGGCGGGCUUGAAUCCGGGAGAGGGAUGCGGAAUUCCAGGUGUAGCGGUGAAAUGCGUAGAUAUCAACUGGAACGCCAAAGGCGAAGGCAAGCGACUGGGCCGAUUCUGACGCUGAGGCACGAAAGCGUGGGGAGCAAACGGG